rnacentral:lncRNA from 1 species
GGUACCGGCCCAGGACCGGACCGGUACGUACCGGCCCGUACCGGCCGGUACAGGCCGGUACGACAUUCCAUGGUUUAGAUUGUGCUGGUUUAAUCAUGUUAGCUUGGUUAUUUUUGUUUCAAGACUAAUCCUUACCCAACACUACCUUGAUAUAUUUCAACCCUUAACUAAACCUACCUGACCUUGUAUGGGAUUUCUUGAAACCAACCCAACUCAACACCCUUAAGCUCAAUUCAUAUCAGGUUGGAGUUGUUAUUGGUUUAGAUUAUGCUGGUUUAAUUAGGUUAGCUUGAUUAUUUUUGUAUAGGUAAUGUAAGAUUAGAGAAAGGUUUUAAGAAAUUUUGUCAACUUAAUAUUUAGCAUCUUGGGGUCUCAUGCAAGUGCAGCUAAGCUAUUCUAUAAAUUAAUAGGCUAAGAUAUAGUUAUAUGAAACAUCCAAGCGAGGUCUGCAAAACCUAUACUGGGAACCAUACUGGUACAUUAUGGCUUUGUAUGGUAUGUUUGGUAUAUAUGGUAUGCACCCUACACAGAGACAAACCUUCGACAUUUUAUUCUCACUCCUAACUAUGGUACCAAAGUUCGCAAUCUCGAUAUCGGGUACUGUAUCAGUACCUUAUCAAUUCGGUAUGGUAAGUACGGUACACCCCUAUAUCGAAAGAGUUGUCUAACCAUUUUUCUCAAUUUUUAUUUCGAAACGCUUCGAUACAGGCCGGUACAUCUCGGUACGGGCCGAUACACACCUUGGUACAGGUCGGUUCAUCUUGGUACAGG